rnacentral:lncRNA from 1 species
UCUAGGUCAUUCUUGGAAAACCCCAGUGGAAUUUUCCAACACUUCAGAACUGCCAGAUACAGAGCACAGUAGCUGUCACAGGAGAGGAUCUUUGUGAUUAGAA